GGCGGACCGGCCUUCCGGCGGGGCCGGCCCGAGCCUCCUUCCCGCGGGCCGGCGGCACUCCGCUCCGGGUCGGGCCCGCUCCACGCGGGGAGCGGCUGCGAGGCGCACGGCCCGUCGAGCAGCUCCUGGGUGGAGCGAUUGGUCUGUCUCCUUCGAAGCCGAGCCUUGAGGACUGCUUUCUCGGAAAGCUGUCGAGAUGCGUUUUGAUAAACGUUCUCUGAAGUACCCGAUUCGCGUCCAAAAGAAGGUAACCCACGUUGCCGUGAUGCCGGUGUUUUGUUUUCAAAGCUCUACAGCCACCACUACAGAUCAGAAGGCUGUUUCAUGAUGAGAAAAAAAUCACUUCUGGGUACCUGACCCUGCAGUCACAGAGGAUUUCAGGAGCUGAGGUGUAAGUCCCUAAAACCAGGCACAACAGAGCAGGUUGGCUUCCAUCUCACACCUUGGGAAAGGCUGUUAUUGCUCAGUGUGAAUCAAAGUGGGGUGCACCUUACAAAGCCAUUCUGUGUUUCCAUUACAAACUUUUAUUUUAAGAAUGAAUCAUUUGCCCACUAAAGUUUACCUUUGCCAUACCAAUACUUUGUCCUUAGAAGUAGCAAAAACGGUACUACAAUUUUAGGGGGAAAAAAAAGAACUUACACAUGAAAAAGCUCAGAUACGUUCUGCUAAGUAGGAUUCCAUCCUUCCACUGCAAAGAGAGUACCUUUCCAAAUGCAGUAUGGACCAAAAAAUAAUUAUAAUAAUAAAUAAAAACUAAUGCUCCAAAGGCUCAUGGAAUUGAGAUUAAAGAGCCUUGAACAGCUGUUUAACACCAGAAUACUGAUUGAAAAAAUUAACAUUCCUUUUCCGUAUUUGAAAAGUACAGUUAUCUUGUCCAUUACCUGUAACCAUGACAUAGCUGCCAUAAAACACCACAGCAGUACCUACCACAGGUACAGCCGCUGCACACAUACUUCUGACUUUCCAAUGCUUUAAAGAACUGUGCAGUAAGACACACACCAAGAUGCAUGUAAAGCAUGCAACAGAUGUGGUCUGAUUUUUGGGUGGUGCUGCGUGGAGCUGGGAGUCAGGCUCGAUGAUGGGUCCCUUGCAGGUCACUUCCAACUGAAAAUAUGAACAGAUGCUGCCCACGGAGAUUCACUGGCAUAUGGAUGAAGAGUAGGCACCCCAAUUUAACUAUUUAUCUAUUUAUUUAUUUUACUAAACACUAUCUGAAAGAAACCACAUGGUCUAGAGGUAACAUGCCAUUUGUCUCUUGCUAAACAUGGUACAAAGAUCAAUUUGGACUCAGGUACAGUGCUAUUUAAAGUAAACCAUAGUGAACGUGAGCCUUAGAUCAAGGAUGUCAUUGAGGGGUUUCAGCAGUCAAGACAGUACACUGUUUACAUGACUAACAUAGGGAAAGUGCAGACCACACUGAGAAGGAAGAAAUGAAAAGUCAUCCAUGUGGUUAAUUACAAUUAAGACACCAACACAAUGAGACCCCGGUUAAAUACACAUAUAGCAGAAUGAGCAACUAGUAUGUGCUGUAGAGGUAAAGCUCUGCAGCAAACCAAACUGAAGUUGCAGUGCAGCGUAGCAGGAAACUCAAAGUGCCCUCUCCUCUGCGUGCCUCACCUGUGUGGCAGCUAUGGGGAUAGCGUGCCCCAGAGAACCAGGAGAACAGAUCGUGUGCUUGAAGGUAACGACCUCCUGGUACAGCUUAGGGAAGGAUCACAUCAUGUAUUUGGUUUUUAAGCUCAGGGAAAACUACCUCAGGCAUAUCACUUAUGAAAGGAAAUAAAUGAGAGCAAACCACAGAAGUGAGACUGAGCUACGCAAGAGUAGUUCUAUCCCGGCCUUUUUUGAGGAAGUUAUUCAAUGUUUCACUGUGAAAAUUGAAAUAAAACAAGUCAAACCAUUUGCAACAUUAGGAGUAAUCAACGGCCAACAUUUUGCAGACAGUUUGUCACUUCAGCUGCAGCUGAGACAGGGCUUCUACUGCAAACAACUUCCAGCUCAAAGCAAAACAGUUUGCAAAGCAAACACUGAACAAAUGCAAAGAGUUUCUGUGUUGAGGCAAAAGCUUGGGCUCAACAGUUCCCAGGCUUACAGAAAGGUCCCAGAAAUGUCAGCGUGUAUUUUUUUUCUAAAUCUCCAAGGAAGGCAGGCCUCCCAGAGCUACUGCACCAGCACUGGUGGUUGUUGGGGGUAGAAACAAAAAAAGAACAAGCAAAUGGGCCUGAUAGAAAUGUUUCAGGUGGGGUAAAGGAAGCAGACAGAACUGAACUGCGAUGGACUUCACAUGCCCAGCUUUUUUCAACUCUAAGAAACGUACCCAGUUCAGAUCUGUGCUCCCUCCUUGCCACCAAACUUUGUUUGACUUAAGCAAGUCAAACAAAGAGACUUUGUUCAAUGCCAGCAGAGCUCUGACAGAUUGCAGCAAGAUAAGCACAGCAGAGGGCGCAGCUGAAGCGCCGAGACAAAUCCAUGUCAUAAAACUGCAGCGGGUAAGAGACGCCUCACUGCUUUCUCCGGAUCUCUGCAGCAGGACCUUAUGAAACACCCGGGCAGGAAUCCCCUAUCGACCUUGCCAACCAGUUGGCAAACCAGUUUGAGUCAGAAGCCCCUCAGCAGCUGCUCCACAGCUAAACACACUGAUCUUGCCAGUCAGGAGGCAGCACAGGUGUUGCACACUUGGGUUGUUUCUCAUAUCUCUGACCAACUUGUGAGAAAUGAGCAGCAGAGUGUGAAACGUUCUCCUCCCACAGCACAACACACAGCAGCUACGCUGACAGAGCAGGAGGGGAGCACGGCGUUAUAUUCCUUACUGAGGAAUGCUCACGCGCUAAGUGGUGUGAUAAUUAAAUUGUUACUCACAUUGACAAGUGGGUGGAAGAGGCUGAAAACCUCUGAUGCAGUUUGCCACAGGCAAUUAUAGAUUUACUAGCGAUGCAUCUGUCACACAGAAAGAUGGGCUUGGACUCAAGUAUCUGCAAUAGCUCAACUUUAACCCACUUCCCAGAAGUAAAAUGGAAUGAGCAGACUGCUGUGCGUCCACAGCACAGCACAGACCCACCUCCAACCUACCGCAUGGGAACAGCUGUACAAUUUCACAUACUCAAGUAUUCAUCCAAGCAAGAACUUGUAGACGUUAAUCCUUAUCCAAAGAUCUGGGAAUUUCCGCCCUAGAAAUUCUGAUAUUAUAACCUAGUUAUGUAGAACUUACAAAGCCUCAGUUCUGCCAUCUGCCAUCUCACUUGGUCACUGCACAACAAAAGGAUCGUUGGCUCAGCAGAGGUGAUCUGACAGCAAGUAAAUAUCACUCCCUUCACUAAGCAUCUGUCACUCACAAGGACUGACCCACCUGCCUGCCUAUUUAAAUUUUCCUCUCAAGCUCAAAACUGACAGUAAUUUGUCUUAACAAACCUGGGAACUGACAGUGAAAAACUGAACCUUGUGUCCUAUGGUACCAGCCCUAUUUCACUAUCAGCCACGUGUGAAACAAGUUGGUAGUGUUUAGACCUCUCCACAUAGAGGGAAGAUGAUUAGGAAGAAUGGAGGGGAAAAAAAGGAAACAAAAGGUAACUUCUACUAGCAACACCUUUUGGAAUGACCAGCAUUUGUUGUGCCAAUCCCACUCCUAGGAGAAACCCAUGCACCUGGCACCCCACCACAGUCUUAAGAUUCUCUUAAAUUCUUCAGAAAUGAACUUUUGCUAGAGAAACCUGAAGGCAUGCCAGGGGUCUGUGUUCCUUCUGCUUCCUGCAGAAGCCUGUAGGAAACAGCAUUCGGUAGGGACAUGCACAAAGGACAAGACACAAAGACAACUGAAGUGGAUUUUUUUCCCCAAAGACUUUUUAUUAGAGAAAAAUCAAAACAAUUCCCCAACCAGUCAUUACAAGGUCAAUCCGUAUAAGCCCCCCACAUCUGUUCCCCAUAACCACACCAGCACAGUGAGGAUCAAUGUGCAGCACUACAGUGAUGAUACCAUAACAGUCACCUGGGGAACUUAAGCCUUCACCACCAUUUCUGAGAGAAAGGUAUUUUUGUAUUCUGAUAAGGACGGGGAGAGGAUGUCAUAACAGAUAGGACAGGGAAAGCCCCUCGCGUGGACUGUCUCUUCAACUUGUAUAAAAACAAAAAUCAAAAAUCCUUAACAGAUCUACAGGCUUCAAACUGUAAGACCUAAAGCUACCUUCAAAUGACUUGUAAUUCAGUCCUGGGGCAUCACUGUUCUGCACUGUAACAGCUUUCAAAAGUGUACAAGGAUAGCAUGGAUGCAAAGGGAGGGGAGUGGACUUGGAUCCUUAAUAUAGCUUUAUAAAAAAAAAUAAAAAUUAAAAGCAGUAUAAGCACUUGCCAGUAGAACAAACUACUCCAGGAUCUCAGCAAUGGCAAAGAAGAGACAAAGCACUAACUUAUUUAGAUGACUGUAUGUCCUCUUUUCACCUUCUUUCCCAUAGCUUCACCCUGGACAACCGUUUCCCUCCUGGUAAUAGAUCAGAUUCCAAUUAGAAAUCAUGAAUGCUUUUUUUUUUUUUCUUUUUUUCUUUUU